CCCUAGUAACGGCGAGUGAAGCGGCAACAGCUCAAAUUUGAAAUCUGGCGUCUUCGGCGUCCGAGUUGUAAUUUGCAGAGGGCGCUUUGGCAUUGGCAGCGGUCCAAGUUCCUUGGAACAGGACGUCACAGAGGGUGAGAAUCCCGUACGUGGUCGCUAGCCUUUACCGUGUAAAGCCCCUUCGACGAGUCGAGUUGUUUGGGAAUGCAGCUCUAAAUGGGAGGUAAAUUUCUUCUAAAGCUAAAUACUGGCCAGAGACCGAUAGCGCACAAGUAGAGUGAUCGAAAGAUGAAAAGCACUUUGGAAAGAGAGUUAAAAAGCACGUGAAAUUGUUGAAAGGGAAGCGCUUGCAGCCAGACUUGCCUGUAGUUGCUCAUCCGGGUUUCUACCCGGUGCACUCUUCUAUAGGCAGGCCAGCAUCAGUUUGGGCGGUUGGAUAAAGGUCUCUGUCACGUACCUCCUUUCGGGGAGGCCUUAUAGGGGAGACGACAUGCAACCAGCCUGGACUGAGGUCCGCGCAUCUGCUAGGAUGCUGGCGUAAUGGCUGUAAGCGGCCCGUCUUGAAACACGGACCAAGGAGUCUAACAUCUAUGCGAGUGUUUGGGUGUCAAGCCCGAACGCGUAAUGAAAGUGAACGGAGGUGGGAACCUUUCGGGGUGCACCAUCGACCGAUCCUGAUGUCUUCGGAUGGAUUUGAGUAAGAGCAUAGCUGUUGGGACCCGAAAGAUGGUGAACUAUGCUUGAAUAGGGUGAAGCCAGAGGAAACUCUGGUGGAGGCUCGCAGCGGUUCUGACGUGCAAAUCGAUCGUCAAAUUUGGGCAUAGGGGCGAAAGACUAAUCGAACUAUCUA
rnacentral:rRNA from 1 species